UUGAAAAUAUCGGAUUUGUGCCAUUCACACUGUCAUACCAUGAUCGGAUAUGGGUCGCAUAGGGUCGAAAAAGUCGGAUUUGAUGCGCUUUCGCCUGCAGUGUGAACGUAGCCUAAGUCCGUGGGUCAGAGGGGGCCACCCGAGAUUCAGUCUGUGAGUGUCAUGGUCCCUGUGCCUCACCAGCUGAUCCUGUAUUAGGCAACAUGUGUUUUGUUGUUUUUUGCUCUCUCUCUCUCACCUGCCGGGGCAGUGCUCAUAAUGGGCUCCCGCCCCUGGCCCACGCACCUGCUGCCUAUCUGGGUGAUCGCAAGGCCUAUUUAAGACGGCAGCGCUGUGUUACUCGUCGCUGGAUCGUUGAGCUAUCAGCAUCUACCCCGGACCUUUCCCUGCCUGCCUGUUACCGUGUGCACGAGUGAGUGGAUUUGUGUUACCCCGUUGUGGAGAGAGAAGAGAGAGCCAUUGGAGUGUGUCUGAUUCCCGUCCUUCCCCUCACAUGCCCCAGAGCCCUGGACCCCCCUUCCCUCCCUCCAGCACGUUGUAAAUAGUAUCACCUGGUGUCGUUUGUGUAAAUAAACUGACUGUCAACUCUGCAAGGA